UGUAAGACUGGGAUAACUUCGGGAAACCGAAGCUAAUACCGGAUAGGAUCUUCUCCUUCAUGGGAGAUGAUUGAAAGAUGGUUUCGGCUAUCACUUACAGAUGGGCCCGCGGUGCAUUAGCUAGUUGGUGAGGUAACGGCUCACCAAGGCAACGAUGCAUAGCCGACCUGAGAGGGUGAUCGGCCACACUGGGACUGAGACACGGCCCAGACUCCUACGGGAGGCAGCAGUAGGGAAUCUUCCGCAAUGGACGAAAGUCUGACGGAGCAACGCCGCGUGAGUGAUGAAGGCUUUCGGGUCGUAAAACUCUGUUGUUAGGGAAGAACAAGUACAAGAGUAACUGCUUGUACCUUGACGGUACCUAACCAGAAAGCCACGGCUAACUACGUGCCAGCAGCCGCGGUAAUACGUAGGUGGCAAGCGUUAUCCGGAAUUAUUGGGCGUAAAGCGCGCGCACGCGGUUUCUUAAUUCUGAUGUGAAAGCCCACGGCUCAACCGUGGAGGGUCAUUGUUAACUGGGGA
rnacentral:rRNA from 1 species